rnacentral:rRNA from 1 species
UACGAAGGGGACUAGCGUUGUUCGGAAUCACUGGGCGUAAAGGGCUCGUAGGCGGUUCGUCACGUCGGGAGUGAAAACUCGGAGCUUAACUCCGAGCCUGCUUCCGAUACGGGCAGACUAGAGGUAGGCAGGGGAGAGCGGAACUCCUGGUGUAGCGGUGAAAUGCGUAGAUAUCGGGAGGAACACCUGAGGCGAAGGCGGGCUACUGGGCCGAUACUGACGCUGAGGCGCGAAAGCCAGGGGAGCAAACGGG